UUCACACCAAUAAGCGCCAGGGAAUUACGAGCAACGCUUAAAACCCAAAGGAUUUGACGGUGUCCCACCCAACUAGAGGAGCCUGUUCUAUAAUCGAUGAUCCCCGAUAUACCCGACCAUUUCUCGCUUAUCAGUCUGUAUACCUCCGUCGAAAGCUUACCAUGUGAACGUCUGCAGUAAGCUUAAUGACCUUAUACGUCAACACGUCAGGUCAAGGUGCAGCUUAAGAAAUGGGAAGUAAUGGGCUACAAUUUCUAACUUAGAACAAACGAAAGACUGUAUGAAAUUACAAUCAUGAAGGUGGAUUUAGUAGUAAAAAAAAAGUAUAGUGUUCUUUUUAACCCGGCUCUGGGACGCGUACACACCGCCCGUCACCCUCUUCAACAGUUUACCAUCCCGUUUCUAACCCAUCAUUACAUUUUAGAAGAAGCAAGUCGUAACAUGGUAAGUGUACUGGAAAGUGCACUUGGUUUAU
rnacentral:rRNA from 1 species